rnacentral:rRNA from 1 species
CAGUAGCCGCGGGAAUACGAAGGGUGCAAGCGUUAAUCGGAAUUACUGGGCGUAAAGCGUGCGUAGGCGGUGAGUUAAGUCUGCUGUGAAAUCCCCGGGCUCAACCUGGGAACUGCAUUUGUGACUGGCAAGCUAGAGUGUGGCAGAGGGGGGUGGAAUUCCGCGUGUAGCAGUGAAAUGCGUAGAUAUGCGGAGGAACACCGAUGGCGAAGGCAGCCCCCUGGGCCAACACUGACGCUCAUGCGCGAAAGCGUGGGGAGCAAGCAGGAUUAGAUACCCCCGUAGUCCCUGUCUCUUAUAC